AUGAAAGGGAGGAGCUGGGAAUCGAGGUAUUUUCGAACAAGAACUUCGCUUUCUUGCGAACCCAGCUAUGGCAUCGUGAAUAAUAACAAAAGACUCCGUGGAAAUUUUGCACAGGUAUCAAUGAUUGAAUGUUAUUGCAGAGAGAUUGAAGGAGGCUGGAUGGCAAGGUCUUUUGGCACCUUUUGCAGGGCUGGAAAUUGGCUUCUUGUAGCAGGUUCGGCAGGGCACAUUGCAGGUUUUUUCCAGUGA